rnacentral:rRNA from 1 species
UACGUAGGGUGCAAGCGUUGUCCGGAAUUAUUGGGCGUAAAGAGCUCGUAGGCGGUUUGUUGCGUCGGCUGUGAAAUCCCGAGGCUCAACCUCGGGUCUGCAGUCGAUACGAGCAAACUAGAGUGUUGCAGGGGAGACUGGGAAUUCCUGGUGUAGCGGUGAAAUGCGCAGAUAUCAGGAGGAACACCGGUGGCGAAGGCGGGUCUCUGGGC